GCGCCACGUGGUGAUGGGAACAUUGCUGCUUAGGAGUUCAGAGAGCUUUGCCUCCCUCAUCUCAUUUUAUACAACCCUUGGGGGAGCAAACUGGGGACAGGCUGCUUUUCCCUAGUUGGAGAUGAGGAAACCAAGGCAAAGUGAGAUAGGGCAUAGGCAGUAUGCCAAGGUGUGCAGGAGAUUUGGGGCUAGAAACCAGGCCUUUUGCCUCCCACUGAAAGCUGUGCUUUCCCACUUGCUUUUCCACGUGGUGAUUAAGCAGCUGCGUCUGUUGCAGAAUGCCAGCCAGAGGAUAUUUGAGGUGGACUAUAGCCAGGACCGCUUCCUCAAGGACGGCCAGCCGUUUCGCUACGUCUCAGGAAGCAUUCACUACUCCCGCGUGCCCCGCUUCUACUGGAAGGACCGGCUGCUGAAGAUGAAGAUGGCCGGUCUGAACACCAUCCAGACGUAUGUGCCCUGGAACUUUCAUGAGCCCUACCCAGGACAGUACCAAUUUUCUGAGGAGCAUGAUGUGGAAUAUUUUCUUCGGCUGGCUCAUGAGCUGGGACUGCUGGUUAUCCUGAGACCCGGCCCCUACAUCUGUGCAGAGUGGGAAAUGGGGGGAUUACCUGCCUGGCUGCUGGAGAAAGAGUCCAUUCUUCUCCGCUCUUCUGACCCAGAUUACCUGGCAGCUGUGGACAAAUGGUUGGGAGUCCUUCUGCCCAAGAUGAAGCCUCUCCUCUAUCAGAAUGGAGGGCCAGUGAUAACAGUGCAGGUGGAAAAUGAAUACGGCAGCUACUUCGCCUGUGAUUUUGACUACCUGCGCUUCCUGCAGAAGCGCUUUCGCCACCAUCUGGGGGACGACGUGGUUCUGUUCACCACUGACGGGGCACAUGAGAAGUUCCUGCGGUGUGGGGCCCUGCAGGGCCUCUACGCCACAGUGGACUUCGGAACAGGCAGCAACAUUACAGAUGCUUUCCAAAUCCAGAGGAAGUGUGAGCCCAAAGGACCCUUGAUCAAUUCUGAGUUCUAUACUGGCUGGCUAGACCACUGGGGCCAACCUCACUCCACAAUCAAGACCGAAGCCGUGGCUUCCUCCCUCCAUGACAUACUGGCUCAUGGGGCGAGUGUGAACUUGUACAUGUUUAUAGGUGGGACCAAUUUUGCCUACUGGAAUGGGGCCAACUUACCCUAUGCAGCGCAGCCCACCAGCUACGACUAUGAUGCCCCGCUGAGCGAGGCUGGGGACCUCACUGAGAAGUAUUUUGCUCUGCGAGACGUUAUCCGCAAGUUUGAAAAAGUACCAGAAGGUCCUGUCCCUCCAUCUACACCAAAGUUUGCAUAUGGAAAGGUCACUCUGGGAAAGUUAAAGACAGUGGAAGCAGCUCUGGACAUUCUGUGCCCCUCUGGCCCCAUCAAAAGCCUUUAUCCCUUGACAUUUAUCCAGGUGAAACAGUAUUAUGGAUUUGUGCUGUACCGGACAACACUUCCUCAAGAUUGCAGCAACUCAGCACCUCUCUCUUCACCCCUCAAUGGAGUCCAUGAUCGCGCCUAUGUUGCUGUGGACGGGAUUCCCCAGGGAGUCCUUGAGCGAAACAGUGUGAUCACUCUGAACAUAACAGGGAAAGCUGGAGCCACUCUGGACCUUCUGGUAGAGAACAUGGGACGUGUGAACUAUGGCGCACAUAUCAACGAUUUUAAGGGUUUGGUUUCUAACCUGACCCUCGGUUCCAGUAUCCUCACGGGCUGGACGAUCUUCCCACUGCACACCGAGGAUGCAGUGCGCAGCCACCUGGGGGGCUGGGGACACCAUGACAGUGGCCGCCAUGCUAAAGCCUGGGCCCACAGCUCAUCCAACUACACGCUCCCGGCCUUCUAUGUGGGGAACUUCUCCAUUCCCAGUGGGAUCCCAGACUUGCCCCAGGACACCUUUAUCCAGUUUCCUGGAUGGACCAAGCAGACCACAGGGUGAAGCAGGUGCUGCAUGGACCCACAGCCUCAUUUCAUUCCUCCUCCACAAUUACCAAAAACAGAAGAUGAUGCUCAAGAACCGUGGCCAAACAGUGGUAAGCUUUGGAAAGAAAUGUGACAUGACUCCUUUAAAGCAUAUGUAUAUUGGCAAAUUGCAGUUCUCCUGCCCUAGAGACAAGCAGAGAAUCUAGGAGGCACGGGCAGUGGGGUGUGGUCACCUCAUCAGCUUGUACACUUUCCUUAUAUGUCACUCAUUUGGUCCUCAGAGCUACACUGUAAGAAGCAGGUAACUGAUCAUGUUUGGGCAAGAGGGAAGAAAAGACACCUAGGAUGCUCCAUCCUUUCCCUGCACCCCUUUGUGUUUAGUUCAACAACUUGGUUCUCCUCCUGACCAGCCACUGUGCUUGGCUGAGGACACAAAGAUGAAGGGGACAGUCUAGUAUAAAACAUGACACAGACCAGACCUGAAGGGGAGGAAGAGGUCCUGUAGAAAAGGUGAAGGAGCAUCAUUCACCAAGCCUCUCCAACCUUAACCAGAGACUGCUGGUGGGCAGCAUGAGCCUUCAGGAAAGACUCGAGAUCCAGCAUUUAGACCUCAAGGCCCCAGUGUGGACUUCUUCAGUGCUCCGCUUCCUUAAAGAUUCUGUUCACUUGUUCUCAAAACGUAAGCAGCUUUCCAGUGCCACAUAUUGACUUCCUUGCCCAAAGGGCAUUUCUCAUCAUCAUGUGCUGCAGUGUGUGCUCUCGUCUGUUGCUGCAUGAUAAACCAAUAAGUCUGCUUAAGUGGCAUAAAGCAAUUAUUUUGUUAUGCAUGUGAUUCUAUGGAUCAGGAAUUUGGACAACCCAGCAAGGAUGGCUUGUCUUUGUUCUGUGACUCCAGGGCUUCUGCUGGGUACCAGACCCAUCUGGCAAUUCCUUCCCUCACCUGAUGUUUGGGCCAGGAUGACUCGAAGUUUAAGGUCACUUAGGACAGUGAACAGAGCAUCUGCAAGUGGUCUUUUCAUGUGACUCGGGCUUCUUAUAACACAGUGGCUGGGUUCUGACGGUGUGUUCCAGAAGGGAGCUUCCAGAGAGUGAACACUGUAACAGAAGCAGGUGGAAGCUCCAUGGCCCUUUGAGACCUAGAUGCAGAAGUCACAUAGUAUCAGAACACUGUACUCUACUGCUCAAAGCAAUCAAAGCCCAGAUUCAAGGUGAGGAAACAGAUCCCCAUCCCUUGAAGGGAGACAUGACAAAGAAUUUGUGGCCAUUUAAAAAAAAUCAUCACAUGUGCACUCAGUGCUAUGCGGCAGCACACGCCAA